CAGUAGCCGCGGUAACACGUAGGGUGCAAGCGUUAAUCGGAAUUACUGGGCGUAAAGCGUGCGCAGGCGGUGUUGUAAGACUGAUGUGAAAUCCCCGGGCUCAACCUGGGAACUGCAUUGGUGACUGCAACUCUGGAGUGCGGCAGAGGGGGAUGGAAUUCCGCGUGUAGCAGUGAAAUGCGUAGAUAUGCGGAGGAACACCGAUGGCGAAGGCAAUCCCCUGGGCCUGCACUGACGCUCAUGCACGAAAGCGUGGGGAGCAAACAGGAUUAGAUACCCGAGUAGUCCCUGUCUCUUAUAC
rnacentral:rRNA from 1 species